GAUCCUGGCUCAGGAUGAACGCUAGCUACAGGCUUAACACAUGCAAGUCGAGGGGCGAGCAUGUUGGUUGCUUGCAACCAACGAUGGCGACCGGCGCACGGGUGAGUAACGCGUAUCCAACCUACCCUUGUCCAUCGGAUAACCCGUCGAAAGGCGGCCUAACACGAUAUGCGGUUCUCAGCAGGCAUCUAACGAGAACGAAAUNUAAAGGAGAAGGAUGGGGAUGCGUCUGAUUAG
rnacentral:rRNA from 1 species